rnacentral:rRNA from 1 species
CACCCCGAUCAAGCGACGUAGGAAUAGGCCGUGCUGACAGGUUUCGGGCCCGAGCAGUAGGUUAGAAUAGUGGGGCUCGCGACCAAGGCGAGUAGCAGCCAGUUUUGUUCGAUUGGAGUGGCCGUGGCGCUAAAGGUUCUCCGGUGCGGUGUGGGGCCAGGCUAGGAAGUAAACGAUCAUGUGACACAACCUGUGAUCGGCAUACACAUGUCCACAGGCAGACACUAGAUCUCGCCACUGUGUUGGGCUGCAUCAUGCUCGCUCACUGUGUUCAAGAACGUGGCUAGUCUAGGUUGAAGACGCGUUCUACGACCUGUUCGACACCCUGCUGCACCACCGGCCCGGAGCGGGCCUCUGCCCGGAGCUGUUCGAGGCGUCCCGCCGGCGGUGGGUUGGAGAGCGGUAGUUGUGUCGACGUCCCCUCCGCUAAUUCGUCAGCGGCAGCUACGGCUGCUGGGGCUGGUGCGGCCACUGCGGCAGCAGCAGCUGCGGGGGCGCGCCGCCGUCGCACACCGCCUCGCAAAAGGUGGGGCCCUCGUUGGACCGGUGGUUUUCGGAGCCGCGGUUGGAGAAGCUGGCGGGCGUCGGGUUGAGGGGGUGGCAGAUGCUGACCGAAAUGUCGCUGCUCUGGUCCUGGUCCUCGUUGGUGGCGAUUUAUUCUCGGCAGCCGGCUUCUUCUUCUCUCCCACGAGUUGUUGAAGACGCUGCGGCGGUACAAACGACGUACACCAAACAGAACUCGAAGCAUGAUGACAGAUGAUCACGAACAUUGAAAGAAAAGAAUAGGGCCAGACGAGUGACGUACGAUCGCUCACUACCCACACAUACACACAUGAAACACAUGCGAGGUACACAUUUAAGAGCACACACACCACACCACAAGAGUUACAAAUUGGUGGAUGAUACCAUUCUGUUAUUGUCGGAGUCUCGUUCGAAAAGGAAAAAGACCAUAUAAAAAGAAUCUGUUAUUG